GGGGCUGUAGCUCAACUGGGAGAGCGCCUCCAUGGCAUGGAGGAGGUCGUGGGUUCGAUCCCCAUCAGCUCCACCA
rnacentral:tRNA from 1 species